rnacentral:tRNA from 1 species
GAAUAUGAAGCGAUAAAUUGCAGUUAGUUUCGACCUAACAAUAGAUAUUUAAUUAUCCUUAUUCU